rnacentral:rRNA from 1 species
AUUGAACGCUGGCGGAAUGCUUUACACAUGCAAGUCGAACGGCAGCACGGACUUCGGUCUGGUGGCGAGUGGCGAACGGGUGAGUAAUGUAUCGGAACGUGCCCAGUCGUGGGGGAUAACGUAGUGAAAAUUACGCUAAUACCGCAUACGAUCUAUGGAUGAAAGCGGGGGAUCGCAAGACCUCGCGCGAUUGGAGCGGCCGAUAUCAGAUUAGGUAGUUGGUGGGGUAAAGGCCCACCAAGCCAACGAUCUGAAGCUGGUCUGAGAGGACGACCAGCCACACUGGAACUGAUACACGGUCCAGACUCCUACGGGAGGCAGCAGUGGGGAAUUUUGGACAAUGGGCGAAAGCCUGAUCCAGCCAUUCCGCGUGCAGGAUGAAGGCCCUCGGGUUGUAAACUGCUUUUGUACAGAACGAAAAGGUUUCUACUAAUACUAGGAGCUCAUGACGGUACUGUAAGAAUAAGCACCGGCUAACUACGUGCCAGCAGCCGCAGUAA